rnacentral:lncRNA from 1 species
AAUAAUGCAUUGUAUGCCGGAAGGGAUAAAUCUGGGGCUGAGUACAAGCAAAACAAGACCAAAGGAAGCUACCUGAGCAGUCACUGGAGCCCUAAUGAUCGCAGCCAUUUCAGGAAAUGCCAUCAAUUACAGUGAGGAGCUCAUUCAGAAGUGAAAGAUGAGUUCCAUUCUCUGUUACUUAGAGGUAUUACAAAGCUCAAAUCUGAGAAAACCUUGUCUACCAUCAACCCUGACCUACAGAGGAGAGGCACCCCCAAGCUUAUUAGUGAUCCUGUCUCCGUCUUAUUGGCACAUCCUGAUGGCCUUGAUCUCUAGUUCUUCCUGUGGAGCAUAACCAUAUGGUUCUUUGCCAAGAUGUUAAGACCAAAGUCGGAGAGUGAACCCCAUGUCAAUGAAUUCUUGUUUUUCUGAUCUUACAUUCCAUCACUUUGAUCCAGUACUCUCAAAAUGCAAUCACAGUUGUACAUGUCUUCUCCUGUCAAUAAACGCUACCUUAGUACUGCA